UAAAUUUGGCGAGCUAUUAAGGGCGCCACUGGGUACAGCCGCCAAGUUUCUUUGAUGCACGCUUCCAGCCAUGCUAAUUUAUUUAAAUUGUCCAUCGUUAAUUCAUUGUCGCCAAUAAUUGCUUCGAACUCAUCGAUUAUUUUUUGCUGCAGCAUAAAAUUCUUACCGCAAACUAUAUCCAACGCAGCACGUUUAGCAUAAGGUACAACAUCAAACACAUUGUUAGCUUCAGCUUUUAGAGAAGAAAUCAGAGUUGUCGUUUCACGUACAACCGAUUUCAAAUACUGUUGCUGUAAUUCGUUAUGAAAUGUGGGUGACAAUUAGUCUCCGGCUGAUUGAAAAAAAUAUAAGCGAUCGGAUGAGAUCUGAAACAAGCCUCCUGUCUACUGGUUUCAAUUCAGGCAUUGACUACUACACGCCCGGUCUAAAUAAAAAAAAAUAUAAUAAUUUCAAGAUCACAAAAACUCGAUUUUUCUAGAUUCGAGCAAGCGAGACCUGAUUUUUUUUUCUUCGUUGUAACAGUAAUAUAAUGAGGGUCAAAUCGACAAUUUCGCCAGGUCAUCAAUAUGAUUAUUGAUAAUUUUGGUAACUAAAAAAAUGUUUUAAUAAUAAUAAUUGAGGUAGCCAAAAAGAAAGGUAGCUAUUAUCAGAAUGUUCAUUUGAAAAAUUGAUAUACCAGCAUUGAAAAUGCCGGUCAUUAACGUCUGGACACCUGGUUAACUUCCCUCUUUCUCUGCUUAAAAAUCUUUCGCCCAAGGCUACGCAAAAUAGUUGUCGCGAUUAUCUGAAUGUACACUUUUGAGGUAGACGAGUCAAAAAGAUCCUGAUGGACAAAAAAUUCUAGCAAGCCCGCCGAAAAAUAACCAGUAAAUUAAUAUAUUUGAAGGACACUUGACUUGUUGAACUUCAACGGCAGUCCGAUUGAUAAAUAAGAAUAAAUAAAUAAAUAAAUAAAAUUUAUGCAUAAAUAUACAAAAAUUUAAACAAAUUAUGUUUUUAAAUUUCCUGCUCGGCAACCAAUGAUUAAUAGCAAUAAUUCAUAUCAUAGUUUUUUUAUAUAUCAAUUAUCAACAACUACUGUAGACGAAUGUUUUUUUUGCGAUAAGUAAUCAGUAAUCAUUUAUUUAUAAAUAUGCAAAUCAAUUUGUCAUAAAUCAGAAGAAAAUUCAGUACUAGCUUAAGCAAAAUGAAUUUUCUUUAAAUAACUUGUAGAUCAGAUCGUUUGAGAUAAAGUUAACAAUAAUAACAUCAACAGCAAUAAAAAAAAAUAAGUAUGAAGAAAAGAAGUUGAAGAAAAAAGAAGCUCAAGGUAAUGGAGUAUGACAAUAAAAUAUAAACUUACCAGUACUCGUGACAAGGCCAUAACCAAGCCAGGGUUUCAGAUAAGAAUACUCCAAACUCUUGUCAAUGUGAAUACUGCUACUCAAUAAUGGCUGGACAUCUUCAACCCGGUAAACAAAAACAAAAGGUCUGGGUCCAACCCACAGUAAAUAGAUGUCACCAAAUUGUUUACCCCACUCGAGGAGUUUCCGAAAAAACUCUAUUGAAGAAAUUAAGGUCUUAAUAAUUAAGGGAAUUGAGGCUUAUGGAUAUUGAUAAGAUGAAAGUGACAUUUAAAAAACUAAGGGUAAAGAAGAAAUGCUAUAAAUAUAUAUUAAUGCCGCGUGAUGAUGGGAACAUAAGAAUGCAUUCUCGCUGCAUAGGUCGUUGGCUUAGAAUGCCUCGUGCAAGAAUCCAAGGCAUCAAGUAGGCCUUCAAUAAUAAUAAUAAUAAUAAUAAUAAUAAUAAUAACAUCAUCAAGAACAACCUAUCUCUAUCACUUGCAGCAAUUAGGUGGUAUAAGUUACUUGUCUUCCUCCUCGGCCUCGUCGACGGUCGUCAACGCUGUGACGAUGACCGACAGUAGCAUCACCACCAGUUACAGCAGCAGCUUAGCUAUAUGUAUGCUGCACGUGCCAUUAUUCACUUGCAUUCAACAAUAGAGAAAGAGAUGACAAUAAUGCAAGUGGAAAAAGGACAGACAGAAUGCGGCCAUUGACCGGAAAAAAUCUUGGGCAUUUUUGCAGUAGAACUAGCUGCAUCCAAGAAACGAGGACACAGAAAUUGAAAGUAAAAGUCGGGAGUUGCAUAGAAGAUAUCAAUGGAGACUCAGAAUGAGAAGAAAAGAAAAUAAAGGAAAUACUUUGUAAGAAGUGUGUCUCCUCCCUUACACCGAUGGUACAAUAUUUGCCGAUGGAAAAAAGAAGAUUCGCAUUUAUGAUUACUCAGUAAUGCAUACCAACCGACCUCGACCUGAUUCUUCAUCUUAUUCUCAUUCUUUCUAUUAUUCUUUUCUUCUUCAUGUCAUUUUAUUUUUUAUUGUCUCUUUUCUCUUUCUCUUCCUCUUUCAUUUUUAUUUGUAUUAUCAUUCAUUGACUCUCAUACGCCUUUCUUCCUUUGCCAGUCAAUUAUUACCCGUACACGUGUCUCCGCCAGAUGACGAUCAUGUUGCUACUGACGAUAAUGAUGAUCAUGAUAGUGAUGAUGAAAAAGAAGAAGAAGAAGAAAUAAAGUCGAUUGACCCUUAAGGCAUGUAAUAUGAGAAUAAUAUUGGACGGACGGAAAUUUCAUUGCAUCACUCCUUUGUACUGGGUGCUUUUACUCGGUGAAUUGGGGCUCAUCUCGUUGCAGUACUUACCACGGGCUACAAUUCAGCUGUACGGCGUUUCCAAUUAAUGGCAGGGCCACUGGUGACGGCACAUUUCUCAAUGAAUAAAGAAAUUUAGUUCUUUUUAUAAAUAACGACAAAA